GGCUUAGAGACAGAUUCCAGGGUGUGGGCACAGUUUGCUUUGUCUUUAAAAAUGAGCCUUACAGGAGGAUCUCUGUGACCUCAGUCCAGGACAGAGGACUAUGUAGAGAGACCCUGUCAAAAAAAAAAAAAAAAAAAAAAAAGAAAAGAAAAGAAAAGAAAGAAAGGAAGGAAGGAAGGAAGGAAGAGAAAAGGAAUACCGAGAGCCUUACACUGGGACAGACACACAUUACCCAAGUUCUUCUGUGAGCCCUUCCUAAGUCCUUUUUUUUUAAUUAACCUGGAAGGUUGGAUGGCAAAGGAAUUGAGAUUCUUCAUGAAAAAUUUUGAGAAUCAUAGAUAUAUGUCUGAGUAUCAGAGUCAAUGUGGAAUGCUUUCCUAACUUUCCAUACUAGUAUGUCUUUCACUAGAAAUUCCCCUGCUGGAACAGUAACUCUUUGGUGGAAUGGUUAUCCACAUGUAAAAGGCCCUGGGAAGGAGCAAGACAGAGAGAUGAAAGGAGAGAGGGAAAGAGAUAGACCGAGGAAGGUAGAUAGAUAGGGAGGGAGGGAGAGAGACAGAGACAGAGAGGAUGAUAAGUAGAUAGUGUGCUGGCUAGUCUAUGUCAACUUGACACACAAACUAAGGUUAUCUGAUAGAAGGAAACCUAAAUUGAGAAACAUACCUCCCUAACAUCCAGCUGUAAGCCAUUUCUUAAUUAGUGAUUGAUGGGAGAGGGCCCAGGCCAUUGUGUGUGGUGCCAUCCCUUGGCUGGUGGUCCAGGGUUAUAUAAGGAAGCAGGCUAAGUAAGCCAUAAUAAGUAAGCCAUAAUAAGCAAGCCAGUAAGCAGCAUCCUUCCAUUGCCUCUGCAUCAGCUCUUGCCUCCAGGUUCCUGCCCAGUUUGAGUUCCUGUCCUGACUUCCUUCAGUGAUGGACAGUGCUGUAAAAGUGUAAGCCAGAUUAACCCAGCAAUAGUUAUGCUAACUAAGAUAGACAGAUUGACAGACUGACUGGCUGGCUGACUGACUGACAGACAGACAGAGGGAGAGGGAAGAUAGAAUAAAUGAAGCAGUAGUACACUAUUCUUUCCAAAGUUAAAUUUCUGUAAUUUUGAAAUAAAGUCUCACAUAGCCCAGGCUAGCUUCAAAUACUCUAUGUACCCAAGAAUGGCCUUGAACUUGCUGCUUCUUCCAGACAGAGUGCUAGGAUUAUAAUCGUGCCACCAUAUGUUUGGGGGUGGGGGAUAAAUAGAAUGAAAUGUGAAUCAGGCACUGUUCUAGUUGGGCUAUAUCUACACCUCAAACUCUGAAAUCUGAGCACUCAGAACAUCAUAGUUUGGUAUCUCCUAACUGUUCACAAAUGCAUUGAAACCAAGAGUGAGCAUGGAUCUCUGUUUUAUCACUUCUAUAGACUCUUGAUAUAUAACUCAGACUAGCCUGGAGCUUAGUGUACAGCCCAGGCUGGUCAGCUCCCAAAUGCUGGGAUUACAGUCAUGUGCCACCCAGUUGUGUCUUUUAUUUUUGAAAUGAGUAAAAAUCAAUGUCUACCUUUUUGAUUGACUACCUAAGUGUUACGUUCCAAAAUUUUCACUAUUUUAAAUUACAGGAGUUAGAAAGUUUUUUUAAUUAAAACUUUAUUAUUAGCAUUAAAAAUUAUUUACCAACCUUAAAUUUUAAUAUGAAAAAAAAAUCACUUAAAUUAUGUUAAUAGGUGUGGCGCCUCCCACCUGCAACCCAAGUAUUUACAAGGCUGAGGCAGGGGAUCUCCAUGAGUUCCAAGCCAGCCUGAAGUACACCAUAAAUUCCAGGCCAACUUGAACUGUAUGGCAUGAGGCCCUGUCUCC
rnacentral:lncRNA from 1 species